GAUUGUGAUUUCUGCAGGUUAACUAUUUGUUUUUCUUUUAGGGCAGCCAGGGGUGGCGGAGGAAUGUCACACAUAUGACGGAGGGGAGCAGGUGGAGAGGGGGUGCAAGGUGCCAGCUUCUGCUUUGCCAAGAUGGCUGUACUUAUGUCAGGGCUAGACUCAAGGCAUGCUAGUGGUACUGUGGUUACAUAUUUGGAGAACCUUUCUUGGAGCAGCGAUUGGCUCAGUCAGUGGAGCAUAUGACCCUUGAUCUCUGUGUCAGGAGUUCCAGCCUCAGGUGGGUGUAGAGAUCACUUCUUAAAUAAAUUAAUCUUUUAAAAAAAUAAUAAAUCUUUCCUAGAGAUGCAUAGUGAAGUGUUUACAAGUGAAAUAAUAUUACCUAGAAUUUACUAAAAAGUAAUCCAGUUGAGGAGGGAGUAGGGGAUUAAUAAAAACAAAAAAUUGGCAUGUGUUGAUCAUGGAUAAAACUCCAUUAUGGGUACACAGGUAUCCA
rnacentral:lncRNA from 1 species